rnacentral:rRNA from 1 species
UACGUAGGGGGCAAGCGUUGUCCGGAAUUAUUGGGCGUAAAGAGCGUGUAGGCGGCCAGGUAGGUCUGGUGUGAAAACUCGAGGCUUAACCUCGAGAUGUCAUCGGAAACCAUUUGGCUAGAGUCCGGAAGAGGAGAGUGGAAUUCCUGGUGUAGCGGUGAAAUGCGCAGAUAUCAGGAAGAACACCAAUGGCGAAAGCAGCUCUCUGGGACGGUACUGACGCUGAGACGCGAAAGCGUGGGGAGCGAACAGG